ACGUAGGGGGCAAGCGUUAUCCGGAUUUACUGGGUGUAAAGGGAGCGUAGACGGCGAAGCAAGUCUGAAGUGAAAGCCCGGGGCUUAACCCCGGGACUGCUUUGGAAACUGUUUUGCUAGAGUGCUGGAGAGGUAAGUGGAAUUCCUAGUGUAGCGGUGAAAUGCGUAGAUAUUAGGAGGAACACCAGUGGCGAAGGCGGCUUACUGGACAGUAACUGACGUUGAGGCUCGAAAGCGUGGGGAGCAAACAG
rnacentral:rRNA from 1 species